GCGCCAGAGGAGAGGCUCGCGUCCUAUCAGGUAGUUNGUGAGGUAAUGGCUCACCAAGCCGAUGACGGGUAGCUGGUCUGAGAGGAUGACCAGCCAGAGGGGGACUGAGACACGGCCCCCACUCCUACGGGAGGCAGCAGCAGGGAAUUUNNGGCAAUGGGCGAAAGCUGACCCAGCGACGUCGCGUGGRGGAUGANGGCCUUAGGGCUGUAAACCCCUUUUCCCGGGGAAGAGAAAGGACGGUACCCGGGGAAUAAGCUCCGGCUAACUACGUGCCAGCAGCCGCGGUAAUACGUAGGGAGCAAGCGUUACCCGGAAUUACUNGGCAUAAAGAGCGCGUAGGCGGCUUGGUAAGUCUUUUGUGAAAGCUCCCGGCUCAACUGGGAGAGGUCAAGGGAUACUACCUCGCUUGAGGGCGGUAGAGGAAAGCGGAAUUCCCGG
rnacentral:rRNA from 1 species